UACGAAGGGGGCUAGCGUUGCUCGGAAUCACUGGGCGUAAAGCGCACGUAGGCGGGUCUUUAAGUCAGGGGUGAAAUCCCGGAGCUCAACUCCGGAACUGCCUUUGAUACUGGAGAUCUUGAGUCCGGGAGAGGUGAGUGGAACUCCGAGUGUAGAGGUGAAAUUCGUAGAUAUUCGGAAGAACACCAGUGGCGAAGGCGGCUCACUGGCCCGGUACUGAUGCUGAGGUGCGAAAGCGUGGGAGCAAACAGG
rnacentral:rRNA from 1 species